CAGAGCCUGACGUCUAAAAACUCCGCAGUAAGUGCAAUUGUUUUUCGUUCCAAUACGAGCCACCACAUUGUCCAUGGUCCAUCCAUCGUACAGAUCAGCAUAGCUGACUAUUUUCAUAGGUAAACCGUAUUGCUGCUGAUUUCUUUUAACAGUAUCAAGUGAAUCGUCCCGAUAUCCACGAAUUCCUUCAUCCACACUAAUUAAAUACAACUCGAGACCAUAGUCGUAUCUCUCAUUUAACAAUUUCAUCACGUACGCUAAUACAGUGCUGUCUUUUCCUCCACUUGCACCUAUACCAACUCGCUCUCCACGGACAAAUAAUUUGUUUUCAAUGAUUACAUUGUGAAUCUCGGUUUCGAAAACAUAGUAGAAACAUUCUUUACAAAUUUUCUGCCCUGUUUUAGGCCUAACUAAUGCUGGUCGUCUCUCGUUACAAAGCU